AUCUAUAUGACGGGUCCCGAAUAGGACGAAAUGCACAUCCUGGAU
rnacentral:hammerhead_ribozyme from 1 species